AGUAGCCGCGGUAAUUCCAGCUCCAAUAGCGUAUAUUAAAGUUGUUGCAGUUAAAAAGCUCGUAGUUGAAUUUCGGGGUUUAUCCGUCGGUCGGGCUUUUGGGUCUGUACUGGCGUGAUGGAUUCCUACCUUCUGAAUAACCGGCAUGUCAUUAAUUUGGUGCGCCGGGGAAGCAGGACUGUUACCUUGAAAAAAUUAGAGUGCUUAAAGCAGGCUUAUGCCUGAAUACAUUAGCAUGGAAUAAUGAAAUAGGACGGCAUGGUUCUAUUUUGUUGGUUUCUAGGAUCACCGUAAUGAUUAAUAGGGAUAGUUGGGGGCAUUAGUAUUCAAUUGUCAGAGGUGAAAUUCUUGGAUUUAUUGAAGACUAACUUCUGCGAAAGCAUUUGCCAAGGAUGUUUUCAUUAAUCAAGAACGAAAGUUAGGGGAUCGAAGACGAUCAGAUACCGUCGU
rnacentral:rRNA from 1 species